rnacentral:lncRNA from 1 species
UUGCAUAUAGCUUCUUAUAAAUAUAUCAAAUAGCAGAUAUAUAUUUCUACAAGAUUUAACUUUUAUAUUUAUUCUCGCAAAACUCUUAACAUUUCAAAUAUAUUCCUGCUGUUAAGAUCCGUUAGAAAUAUAUAGUUAAACAUAGAUAAAAUAUUUAAUCUUAAUUAUUGAAUGAGGUAAAUUAAUCUUUAUACCCCUCUAAUAUUAUUUGUGAUGGGAGAAAGAAAGGAAACGAUUGAAAAAUUUUAAAGCUUCUAAAAGCUUGAGGUAAAGUUUCAACUUAGUAUUUGGAUCCUUCAAUGGCUCACUGGAGUUCUGCUUCUUAAAGUUUUAUAGAAAAAAUUUUAGGCUAAACUAUGCUUUUGAUCCUCAAACUGUAAGGCACGUAAUAUUUUGGUCGUCACAUUUUUAUUUCUUACAAUUAGAGGUGCGAACUUUAUAAAUUGUUGUAAUCAAACCACAUAAUCUAUUUUAAUCGACGAAAUGUUGGCAUAUCGUUGAUGUGGAAGUGAUCUUGCAUAUUAAUGAUCUUGCAUAUUAAUUAUUAUUGCAUCAUCAAUCAUAAUAUUUUUGUAUUAUUUUUACAUUAGCAAUAUAUUAAUAUUUAAUGAACUAAAUUAGAUGGUAGGACUUAAAUAUAAUAAUUAAGAAAAUUCAAAUUAAAAAUUAUAACAAAUUCAAGUUUGAACAUUAAAAUGUCACACACCUCAUAGCUUGAGAACCAACAGUAAAGUAACAGCCGAUUUUGGUACAAUGGAAAUAUCAACAAAUUAAAAUGCCGAGUAAAGUAACAGUUGGCGAGGGUGAACAGCUUUUUCUUUAGAACUGUAAAUAAACAAAGAGCUCGGCUACUAUAAUCUUGUGAGUAUGAUCGUUUUGUAUUCGUAAGUUAUUUUCGAUGAUAAAGCUUUCAAACCGACGAUCUAUACCGUUAAAUAUUAUUUAGAGAAUUUAAAAUUUAUCGAAACUAAAUUUAUAACUUUUCGACGUUAUAUACCUAACGAUCAAAAGAUUUUAAAGUUGACAACUUCUAAUGGCUGGUAAGGAAUGGCGGUUAAUUUAACAGUAUAAAAAAAUGAAAUUAGUUGAAUUUUUAAUAGAAAAUUUUAUUCACUAUAUAUAGAUAAAGAUUAAUUGCUUCAAGCUUCAAUCUUAAAUGGGAUCGUCAAUUCGAAAGUUCAAUCUGUCACGCCCCGGAUUACCACAUUUCUUCGGGCACGUCAAUAGACCUGCCGUAUAUAUAGAAAUUUUUCGUGUAUACGAAUAAUAGCUGUACCUGUAAAUAAAUAGAAGCUACAACCAAAGUACAGAACUGCUAA